AUUGAACGCUGGCGGCAUGCCUUACACAUGCAAGUCGAACGGCAGCACGGGUGCUUGCCCCUGGUGGCGAGUGGCGAACGGGUGAGUAAUACAUCGGAACAUGUCCUGUAGUGGGGGAUAGCCCGGCGAAAGCCGGAUUAAUACCGCAUACGAUCUACGGAUGAAAGCGGGGGACCUUCGGGCCUCGCGCUAUAGGGUUGGCCGAUGGCUGAUUAGCUAGUUGGUGGGGUAAAGGCCUACCAAGGCGACGAUCAGUAGCUGGUCUGAGAGGACGACCAGCCACACUGGGACUGAGACACGGCCCAGACUCCUACGGGAGGCAGCAGUGGGGGAUUUUGGACAAUGGGCGAAAGCCUGAUCCAGCAAUGCCGCGUGUGUGAAGAAGGCCUUCGGGUUGUAAAGCACUUUUGUCCGGAAAGAAAUCCUUGGCCCUAAUACGGUCGGGGGAUGACGGUACCGGAAGAAUAAGCACCGGCUAACUACGUG
rnacentral:rRNA from 1 species